GACGAACGCUGGCGGCGUGCUUAACACAUGCAAGUCGAACGGAAAGGCCCUGCUUUUGUGGGGUGCUCGAGUGGCGAACGGGUGAGUAACACGUGAGUAACCUGCCCUUGACUUUGGGAUAACUUCAGGAAACUGGGGCUAAUACCGGAUAGGAGCUCCUGCGGCAUGGUGGGGGUUGGAAAGUUUCGGCGGUUGGGGAUGGACUCGCGGCUUAUCAGCUUGUUGGUGGGGUAGUGGCUUACCAAGGCUUUGACCGGUAGCCGGCCUGCGAGGGUGACCGGACACAUUGGGACUGGGAUACGGCCCAGACUCCUACGGGAGGCAGCGGUGGGGAAGAUUGCACAAUGGGCGGAGGCCUGAUGCAGCAACGCCGCGUGCGGGAUGACGGCCUUCGGGUUGUGAACCGCUUUCGCCUGUGACGAGGCGUGAGUGACGGUAAUGGGUAAAGAAGCACCGGCUAACUACGUG
rnacentral:rRNA from 1 species